GUCUGAACAUAAAACAUUUGUAAAAAUUUUUAAAAAUGAGAAAAUGAAAAGAAGAAAAGAUAAGCCAGAGACUGUGGAAACCCUUAGGACGUUCCAUAAAUGGAAAGGAAUCGUCUCUGAAAAACAGAGGAUAUUCACAGAGGGCAAGCAAAGGUCAGCUACUUCUGAAGGAUUGUCACAUGGACAGAGUAACUGUAAAGCAAUGAUAAAAAAACAUUAUCUGGCGGUGGGUCUGCAGAGGCCUCUCAUUGGUCACUGUGAGUCACGUGGUUGAUCUGCAGGGCCCUCUCAUUGGUCACUGUGAGUCAUGUGCAGGGGCCUCUCAUUGGUCACUCUGAGCCACGUGCAGGAUCCUGUCAUUGGUCACCGUGAGUCACGUGGUUGAUCUGCAGGGAUCUCUUAUUGGUCACUAUGAGUCACACUCUGCUCUGGUGUCAUGGCACUCACAAGAUGUCUCCUUUCUUUCCUUGUCUCUUUUGCUACCCGCCUGAACUCUGAGGGAAGCCAAAAUUCCAACCUACAUUGACCCUCAGUUUCCUCCAGAUUUGGCCCACGGUGCUCCACAACAGUAUUUAACAGCCCAUAACAUGCAUCAAACGUUUGUGUAAAUGUCUUGAAGUUGUCAACAGCAGCUUCUUUGUGGUAGAGACUUGGCCUCUUAAUCCACAGAAGUACCUCCGGGUUCCUUACUCAACCAAAUCUCCUUGGUGUAAAGAACCUGCCAGCUGCUUCUCCUUCCUUGGGGAUCCUGAGUCCAUAGAUGGCAUGCUCCACCCCCUACCUUCAUCUCGCCUGUUCUGACCCUCAGACCACAGAUGAACCAAUAGCACUUUUGACAGUUGGAAUACGAGAGAAUUCUACUCUGGAGAAGCCAUAAACCUUGGCCAUAUUAGAAGUAACAGGAUCCCUCGAUUCGUCCUGAUUGAACUCAGAGUCUGCCCCGGAUGGUGCGUUCAGGCAUAACUACCGGAUUCUACUAUUUCAUCUCUUGGUACCCCCUAAGAGGAGGCAGAGAUGUUGGGGUCAUCCUUUCCUCCUGACAGUUGAGGAAAUCAAGGCAAAGGCAAGUGGUUUACUCCAGAGUCCUUCCUAAUACAGUGUGGGCUCCCUCAGGGCUCCUGUUCAGUACUGAUUUCCCUGGAGCCAGGGUCUUCGCACCACAGCUCCAGUCUUCCCAAGACCGUCUAGCACAAGAGGCAACUUUAGCUGUCACAGUAGAAGUUCUGGAGAUCGCAGGGAGUGACUGUCUAGGUGGCUGCUCUGCCCCAGACUUGGGGGUAGAGGUGGUCAUGAGAACGAGGAGGAACAACUCCUGGGAGCUCACAAGGUGCUGACCAUCUCUUAGUCACAGGAGCAGAACCAAGGCUAUCUGAUUUAUACACCAACACCAACAGGCGAGCCUCCCUCCAGCCCUGACGUGGACAGGCCAAAAGCUAGUCUUCAACAUGGUAAAAGAUUUAGGGCACUUGCAAGGAAGUCAGGAGCCCUAGAAAUCACCACAACAUGAGAACUAAGCUGCACUCGGAGUCCCUAGCACAACAGCCUGCUCUGCAGCACCCUGAACACAGCCAGGAAGGCGGGUUUGGAAUGAAGACUCCUUUAUUCAAGCAGUCAGUGAUGAUGCUGCCCGUGGGAGAGCACCACUUCCUGAAGACGCCCUGACGCUUGUCUGGGGCUGGAAAGAUGGCUUCCUAAAAGCUGUUGAAAGCCCUGGCUGCUCUUACAGAGGACCUAAGUUUGGUUCCCAGAACCAACAUGGUGGCUCACAACCACCUGCACCUCCAUCCAGUUCAAGCAGAUCUGAUGCCCUCUUGUGACCUCUGCAGGUACCAUACACACAGGGCACGUGAAUAUAUGCAGCACUCAUAAAAUGAAAAUAAAUCUUUAAAAAGAAAAAACCCAUAUUUAUCUUUCUUUGUCCAUGUCUGUCUGUCAGUCUCUAUCUCUUUGUAUUCUCUCUCUCUCUCUCUCUCUCUCUCUCUCUCUCUCUCACAGA